rnacentral:rRNA from 1 species
UACGUAGGGUGCGAGCGUUGUCCGGAAUUAUUGGGCGUAAAGGGCUCGUAGGCGGUUUGUCGCGUCGGGAGUGAAAACUCAGGGCUUAACCCUGAGCCUGCUUCCGAUACGGGCAGACUAGAGGUAUGCAGGGGAGAACGGAAUUCCUGGUGUAGCGGUGAAAUGCGCAGAUAUCAGGAGGAACACCAGCGGCGAAGGCGGCGCUCUGGGCCGGUACUGACGCUGAGGCACGAAGGCCAGGGGAGCAAACGGG